UAAUGUCAAGAAACAUGACUCGUGCUUCCUUGGUUUCCCUGGGAGAAAGAUUACUGUUAGGUGUCUAAAGAAGGUCUAUAAGCUAUCCCAAGAAUAAGGAAUGCAGAUACCGGAAGAAUGGUUCUUCUGAAUGGAGGCUACAUGAUUUCUUUACUCUGCAUAACACUGAGGGUCAUUAACCUAAACAGGUGAGAAGGAAAAGCAUUUAAUCUGGUGUAUAGAAAUUGAAGCCCUCCUGCAAACUUCUCUAAAUAAGGAAGGAUCCUGAUUUUAAAGGAUGUUUGGCAGCAACUAAAGCAAACAGACUAGAAGAGAAUAUUUGCGGCAACUAUAAAUCUGACUAAGGAAACUGUUAGAGUUGCCAGAGUUGGAGAGAAUGGAUUGACCCAUCAGUGCACUGUGCCUCAGUUCUUUCUCUUCAUGACACUGGAGACGACCUGUCAUCACACCUUCCGCACACCUGCUCUUCCCUGUCUUGGAAACUGGCAGUCCCAAUCCCAAUUACCCAGACAAAAAAACU